rnacentral:rRNA from 1 species
UACGUAGGGUGCGAGCGUUGUCCGGAAUUAUUGGGCGUAAAGGGCUCGUAGGCGGUUUGUCGCGUCGGGAGUGAAAACCAUGGGCUUAACUCAUGGCUUGCUUCCGAUACGGGCAGACUGGAGUACUGCAGGGGAGACUGGAAUUCCUGGUGUAGCGGUGGAAUGCGUAGAUAUGUGGAGGAACACCGAUGGCGAAGGCAGCCUUCUGGGCCAACACUGACGCUCAUGCACGAAAGCGUGGGGAGCAAACAGG